rnacentral:rRNA from 1 species
GCCAGCAGCCAUAUCACCCUGCAACUCACAACUUGCAACCCAGUGAAGCAACCCAGUGAAGCUAAGCAGGUACUGGUCAGUACCUGGAUAGGAGACCUCCUGGGAAAAACUAAGGUUGCUGCUGGAA